rnacentral:rRNA from 1 species
GUUUGAUCCUGGCUCAGAAUGAACGUUGGCGGCGUGGAUUAGGCAUGCAAGUCGUGCGCGAACUGUAGCAAUACAGGGAGAGCGGCGAAAGGGAGAGUAUAACGUAGGUAUCUACCCUCGGGUCUGGGAUAGCGGCGGGAAACUGCCGGUAAUACCAGAUGAUGUCCCCGGACCAAAGGUGUGAUUCCGCUCGAGGAGGAGCCUACGCCCUAUUAGCUAGUUGGCAGGGUAACGGCCUACCAAGGCAAAGAUGGGUAUGGGGUGUGAGAGCAUGCCCCCACUCACUGGGACUGAGACACUGCCCAGACACCUACGGGUGGCUGCAGUCGAGAAUCUUCGGCAAUGGGCGCAAGCCUGACCGAGCGACGCCGCGUGCGGGAUGAAGGCUUUCGGGUUGUAAACCGCUGUCGUAGAGGAGGAAAUGCUAGUGGGUACUCCCAUUAGCUUGACUGAUUCUAGGAGGAAGGACGGGCUAAGUUCGUGCCAGCAGCCGCGGUAAUACGAACCGUCCAAACGUUAUUCGGAAUUACUGGGCUUAAAGAGUUCGUAGGCGGUUAGGAAAGUUGGGUGUGAAAGCCCUCGGCUCAACCGAGGAAUUGCGCUCAAAACUUCUUGACUCGAGGAAGAUAGAGGUGAGCAGAACUGAUGGUGGAGCGGUGAAAUGCGUUGAUAUCAUCAGGAAUACCGGAGGCGACGCGGCUCACUGGGUCUUUUCUGACGCUGAGGAACGAAAGCUAGGGGAGCAAACGGGAUUAGAUACUCGGGUAGUCCUAGCCGUAAACGAUGAGCACUGGGCCGGAGCUCUGCACAGGGUUCCGGCCGUAGCGAAAGUGUUAAGUGCUCCGCCUGGGGGAGUAUGGUCGCAUGGCUGAACUCAAGGAAUUGACGGGGGCUCACACUAGCGGGGAUGAUGUGGCUUUAGUCGAGGCUACCCGAAAACUUUUCUUAGUCUUGACAUGCUAAGUUCCUCCUGAAGGAAGGGAUGCCGCAGGGAGCUUUGCCAGGGGCUGCAUGGCUGCUCAGUCGUCUGAAUGUCAGUAGUCUUAACGAGGAACUGUUCUUAGUUACAGACAUGGGCGACUAGUAACUGCCUGUUAACCGGGAAAACGUGGGGGAUAGCUCGAAUUC